ACUAAAAUAGGGAGACUUAAAAAAAUGCUUUGUUUUUUUAAUAAGUCGAAUUUAAUGCCCUCUCAGGGUUAAACAAAAUUCUCUUCAGGAUAAAGACUGCCCAUUUGCUGAGAGGGAGUUUCGGAGCUGGGGAGGGAGCUGAAAGUUGGAGACCGGACCUUGAGGUAUUAUUGGAGGCAUUAGAUUGCAUCAAGGAGCUUUGCACACAGAGAGAAAAUAGAGGAGCUGACCUUUUGUUGUAUACUAGCUAUGUUCCUGAAAAAUUUCCAAACUGAUUCCCACUCACAAUAACAGGCAAGGUCACUGAAAAAUCUCUCCCAGAAGUUUUAUAAAAGGCGGUCCCUGCAGGGUUGGGAGUCGGACUAAGAAAGGAAGGAUUGGUCCCUGCCUUGAUCUUCUCUGAGGUACCAAGCACUUAUAUCUGCACGUGCAUCAAGUGGAGACAGGUCUGAGGAAUACAAAAGGAACGAUUACAACUAAAAAUGAAGUCCAACAAUGCUGCAGGAUACAAGAUCGAUAUACAAAAAUCAGUUGUAUUUCUAUACACUUGCAGUGACGCAUCUGAAAAUGAAAUUAAGAAAAAAGACCCAUUUAUAACAGCAUUAAAAAGAAUAAAAUAUUUAGGAACAUACUUAACAAAAGAAGUGUAAGAACUAAACACCAAAAACUACAAAACAUUGUUGAAAGAAAUUAAAGACCUAAAUUAGUGAAAAGGAAUCCCAUAUACAUAGAUCAAAAGAUUUCACUUUCUUAAGAUAGCAAUUGUCCCUAAAUGGCUCUAUAGGUUCAAUGCAAUCCCUAUCAAAAAUGCCAACUGCUUUUUUUUGCAAAUUGGCAAAAUAAUCUUAAAAUUCAUGUGGAAAUGCAAGUGACCCUGAAAAGCCAAGACAAUCUUGAAGAAAAAGCUGGAAGACUCACACUUCCCCAUUUUGAAACUUACUACAAAGGUACAGUAAUUAAAACGGUGUGGCACUAACAUCUGAAACUCAUAUAACACUGUAUGUU